CCAGCAUGUCCAUAUCUAUCCUGGAAUUAAGAAGAAUACCCAGCUCCAGAGAAAUCAAGUGCCCCCAGAUGGCCAAAUAUGCAUGUCCCAUUGAUGCCCAGCAUGUCCAUAUCUAUCCUGGAAUUAAGAAGAAUACCCAGCUCCAGAGAAAUCAAGUGCCCCCAGAUGGCCAAAUAUGCAUGUCCCAUUGAUACCCAGCAUG